GCCGAUGUAGCUCAGCUGGUUAGAGCAGCUGUUUUGUAAACAGCAGGUCAUCGGUUCGAAUCCGAUCAUCGGCUCCA
rnacentral:tRNA from 1 species